rnacentral:rRNA from 1 species
GGGUGACGAGUGGCGGACGGGUGAGUAAUGUCUGGGAAACUGCCCGGUGGAGGGGGAUAACUACUGGAAACGGUAGCUAAUACCGCAUAACGUCUUCGGACCAAAGUGGGGGAUCUUCGGACCUCACGCCACCGGAUGUGCCCAGAUGGGAUUAGCUAGUAGGUGGGGUAACGGCUCACCUAGGCGACGAUCCCUAGCUGGUCUGAGAGGAUGACCAGCCACACUGGAACUGAGACACGGUCCAGACU